CGACAGCAGACGCUUUUAUUUGAAGCGUUUAGUCGUCUACGGUAAAGUGGAAAGUUGGCCCAAAGGAAAUAGAGCCUGCAAGUUGGACAUGUCAUGGGAGCAGUAACUGGAGCUGCCAAAAUUGGUUUCGGGAUAGCCGGACAAGGUCCAGGGCAGGCAACGAUGAACUCUCCACCGGAAUGCUCCAUCACAAGUUUCGCUUAGCGGUCAUCUAAACACAGAUUAAUAUGUGAUGUAACGUACCCUAUCCAGGUUCAAGUUCGAGAUUUUAGAAGCAGUUUUAACGAAUAUCCAGCAGCCUCAUAUAAAUGCAGAUUUCCCACUUCCCAUAUGCAAAUUACUUGAUCUGGAUGAGACGACUGAUGCAAUGUAAC